AUGAGUUAUGUUCUUUAUUGAACAAUCAUCUCUAAACACAUCUGUGAACCCUCUUUUUCUCUGAUUCUUUAUUGAGUUGGGAAAAAGGCACAAACAUUUUUUUAAAUGCUUAUUUUUACUUUAUAGUCUGAAUGAAAAAACAAACAAACAAAUUA
rnacentral:misc_RNA from 1 species